GUACAGAGGUCUCAAGCGUUGCUCGGAAUUACUGGGCGUAAAGGCGCGUGAGGCGGAUGACUUAAGUUAGAGGUGAAAGCCCAGGGCUCAACCCUGGAAUAGCCUUUAAUACUGGGUAUCUUGAGUUCGGGAGAGGUGAGUGGAACUCCGAGUGUAGAGGUGAAAUUCGUAGAUAUUCGGAAGAACACCAGUGGCGAAGGCGACUCACUGGCCCGAUACUGACGCUGAGGCGCGAAAGCGUGGGGAGCAAACAGG
rnacentral:rRNA from 1 species